rnacentral:rRNA from 1 species
AUUGAACGCUGGCGGCAGGCUUAACACAUGCAAGUCGAGCGAGCGGCGGCCGGGUGAGUCAUGUCUGGGAAACUGCUUGAUGGCGGGGGAUAACUACUGGAAACGGUACCUAAUACCGCAUACCUUCAGCUGUUCACUGAUGGGAUUCGCUAGUAGGUGGGGUAUGGGCUCACCUAGGCGACGAUCCCUAGCUGGUCUGAGAGGAUGACCAGCCACACUGGAACUGAGACACGGUCCAGACGCCUACGGGAGGCAGCAGUGGGGAAUAUUGCACAAUGGGCGCAAGCCUGAUGCAGCCAUGCCGCGUGUGUGAAGAAGGCCUUCGGAUUGUAAAGCACUUUCAGCGAGGAGGCGUUACUCGCAGAAGAAGCACCGGCUAACUCCGUGCCAGCAGCCGCGGUAAUAC